rnacentral:rRNA from 1 species
UACGUAGGUGGCAAGCGUUGUCCGGAUUUACUGGGCGUAAAGAGCGUGUAGGCGGCUAGAUAGGUCCGUUGUGAAAACUCGAGGCUCAACCUCGAGACGCCGGUGGAAACCAUCUAGCUAGAGUCCGGAAGAGGAGAGUGGAAUUCCUGGUGUAGCGGUGAAAUGCGCAGAUAUCAGGAAGAACACCCGUGGCGAAGGCGGCUCUCUGGGACGUGACUGACGCUGAGACGCGAAAGCGUGGGGAGCGAACAGG